rnacentral:rRNA from 1 species
GUCGGUGUUUAUUGUGACGAGGUUCCACCUGUUCCCAUUCCGAACACAGUAGUUAAGCUCGUUUGCGUCGAAAAUACUUGGUUGGUGACGGCCUGGGAAGAUAGAUAAUGCCGGCA